GACGAACGCUGGCGGCGUGCUUAACACAUGCAAGUCGAACGGACAGGCCCUGCUUUUGUGGGGUGCUCGAGUGGCGAACGGGUGACUAACACGUGAGUUACCUGCCCUUGACUUUGGGAUAACUUCAGGAAACUGGGGCUAAUCCCGGAUAGGAGCUCCUGCUGCAUGGUGGGGGUUGGACAGUUUCGGCGGUUGGGGAUGGACUUGCGGCUUAUCAGCUUGUUGGUGGGGUAGUGGCUUACCAAGGCUUUGCCGGGUAGCCGGCCUGAGAGGGUGACCGGCCACAUUGGGACUGAGAUACGGCCCAGACUCCUACGGGAGGCAGCGGUGGGGAAUAGUGCACAAUGGGCGGAAGCCUGAUGCAGCAACGCCGCGUGCGGGAUGACGGCCUUCGGGUUGUAAACCGCUUUCGCCUGUGACGAAGCGUGAGUGACGGUAAUGGGUAAAGAAGCACCGGCUAACUACGUG
rnacentral:rRNA from 1 species